rnacentral:rRNA from 1 species
AACGCAUCUUGCGCUCCAUGGUAUUCCGUGGAGCAUGUCUGUUUGAGUGUCAUGAAAUUCUCAACCCUUGGGUUUUGCUAGUCAAUUCCCUUGGGCUUGGAUCGUGAGUGCCUGCUGGACCUUGCAUCAGCUCACUCUAAAAGCAUGAGUGGGAUCUCUUGUGGACUGUCACUUGGUUGUGAUAAUUAUCUACGCCAUUUGACUUUGAAGCAAACUUAUGGGAACCUGCUUAUAACCGUCCUUUCGAGGACAAUCUUUGACAUUUUGACCUCAAAUCAGGUAGGACUACCCGCUGAACUUAA